CCCUUAGAUGUCCUGGGCCGCACGCGUGCUACACUGACACCUGCAACGAGUUAUUCCAGCUCCGAAAGGCGGUUGGUAAUCAGAAAUAGGUGUCGUGAUGGGGAUAGACCCUUGGAAUUAUGGAUCUUGAACGAGGAAUGCCUAGUAAGCGCACGUCAUUAGCGUGCGCUGAUUAAGUCCCUGCCCUUUGUACACACCGCCCGUCGCUCCUACCGAUUUCGAGUGGUCCGGUGAGCCUUUUGGAGAGUGAGCGUCCUUGAGGCGCUUGCUCGAAGUCAGGCAAAUCUUACUACUUAGAGGAAGGAUAAGUCGUAACA
rnacentral:rRNA from 1 species